CUUAUGUUGGGUUUCCUUUUCUUGACCUUCUAGUAGUCUGUGGAUGGUAAUUUGAGCUUUUGGGCCAAUGCUCACGUUUGGUGAUUGCAUUCCAUGUGUGUUUUUCUGUGAUUUGGUUGCCUCAUUCAGGAUGAUAUUUUCUAGCUCCAUCCAUUUGUCUACGACUUUCUUGAAAUCAUUGUUUUUAUAGCUUAUUAGUAGUCCAUUGUGUAGAUGUACCAUAUUUUCGGUAUCCAUUCCUCCGAUGAAUGCCAUCUGGGUUCUUUCCAGUCUAUGGGUAUUUUAAAUAAGGCUGCUAUGAACAUUCUUGUGUAUGUGUCUUUUUUGUGUGUCAUCUUUUUGGUAUAUGCCCAGGAGAGGUAUGGCUUGGCCCUCAGUUACAGCAAUGUCCAAUUUUCUGAGGAACCUGUGGACUGAUUUCCAGUGUGGUUGACCCAGUGUGUGAUCCAACCAAAAAAGAAGGAGUGUUCCUCUUUUUUGACAUCCUUAUCAUCAUCUUCUGUCUCCUGAGUUUUUUAUUUCAGUCAUUCUGACUUGGGUGAGGUGGAAUCUCAGGGUUGUUUUCAUUUACAUUUCCCUGAUGACUAAGUAUGAUGAACAUUUCUUUAAUUUCUUCUCGGAUACUUGAUUUCCUUCAGUUGAGAAAUCUUUGUUUAGUUCUAGACCACAAUUUUAAUAAGGUUAUUUGCUUCUCUGAAGUCUAACUUCUUGAGUUCUUUGUAUAUAUUGGAUAAUAGCCCUCUAUCAGAUGUAGGAUUGGUAUAGACCUUUUCCCAAUUUGUGGGUUGCAGUUUUGUCCUAAUGACAGGGUCCUUAGGCAGGCAGUUUUCUACUACAGUGAAGAACUGUCAGUUAGUGAACUAGAACAGGGACUGGCUCCUUCCUGACUUCUCUUUGGGUCCUGAACAGUGAAGAAGGGAACCAAACAACCAAGUUCUCCCCCUACAAGGCAUGUAUAUAAACAGCCAUGGAUCUAGAGACAUCUAUUAGUGAUUCUCAUCAUCCCUCCAGGAAAUGUAUGGUAAUGGGGUUUGUAGUUUUAAUCCUGGCUUCUAUAACUUCAGGCUUUGGUGUUGUGAAGCAAAGAUAUGCCCUGUGCCUGAGGAGGCUGUGUCCUUUGGUUUCUGAAGCAUUGCAAAGGAAGUGAGAGGAAAUAAGCAACCCCUGCUCAACAGAUCUCUGGAUAUGCUGACACUCUUGCUUUAUCUCUAUACGAAGCUACUUCAAAAGAUCACCUCUCAGGAUCUGCUGGAAAGCCAUCAUCCCAACCUUCCAGCAUAAAUGAGCAAAUACAACAGAUUAAGAAGAUGGAGAAACUGACUAUUGAGCUCCAGAAGAUGACCUAAGAACCAACAACAAAGAAGACACCAUCACAGCUGCCUAUCCUCCCCAGCACUACAGGAAGCUGCAGCCUCACAUCACAGUUCAUGAGUAUGAGAACUGCUAGACCCAGUCUGGGAAGAUGUUCCUGUUCAUCGAGCCCACCUUCCAGUAUUGCAGAAAUACCGAAGAAAUCCUAAAUCAACUCCCUUUCAAACAUGGUCUUCUGGGAUUUGUAGACAUCACAGCCACUAACAACAACAAUUCAAUUAAAGAUUACUUACAACAGUAAGUAAUGGAGUGAGAAUAGUUUCUUGGGUCUUUAUAGGUAAUCAAAGACUUCAUAGGCAGAUGCAGUGAUCUAAUCUCCCUGCAACAGAAUGGCGAGCAGAUGACGUGGCU